rnacentral:piRNA from 1 species
GUAUUGUCUGGAAGCCCCAUGAGAUGGUAA